rnacentral:tRNA from 1 species
GCACCGAUCGUAUAGUGGUUAAAUGCUUUCUAUAAAGCAUGCCAAAGUAUCUUGGGCUUCCAACCCAAGGAGCCGGGUUCAAUUCCCGGUCGGUGCA